AGGGGGAUAACUACUGGAAACGGUAGCUAAUACCGCAUGACCUCGCAAGAGCAAAGUGGGGGACCUUCGGGCCUCACGCCAUCGGAUGUGCCCAGAUGGGAUUAGCUAGUAGGUGAGGUAAUGGCUCACCUAGGCGACGAUCCCUAGCUGGUCUGAGAGGAUGACCAGCCACACUGGAACUGAGACACGGUCCAGACUCCUACGGGAGGCAGCAGUGGGGAAUAUUGCACAAUGGGCGCAAGCCUGAUGCAGCCAUGCCGCGUGUGUGAAGAAGGCCUUAGGGUUGUAAAGCACUUUCAGCGAGGAGGAAGGGUUCAGUGUUAAUAGCACUGUGCAUUGACGUUACUCGCAGAAGAAGCACCGGCUAACUCCGUGCCAGCAGCCGCGGUAAUACGGAGGGUGCAAGCGUUAAUCGGAAUUACUGGGCGUAAAGCGCACGCAGGCGGUUUGUUAAGUCAGAUGUGAAAUCCCCGAGCUUAACUUGGGAACUGCAUUUGAAACUGGCAAGCUAGAGUCUUGUAGAGGGGGGUAGAAUUCCAGGUGUAGCGGUGAAAUGCGUA
rnacentral:rRNA from 3 species